rnacentral:tRNA from 2 species
GGUCGCGUAGCUCAGUUGGUAGAGCACUACCUUGACAUGGUAGUGGUCGGAGGUUCAAGUCCUCUCGUGGCCACCA